rnacentral:rRNA from 1 species
UACGGAGGGGGCUAGCGUUGUUCGGAAUUACUGGGCGUAAAGCGCACGUAGGCGGCUAUUCAAGUCAGAGGUGAAAGCCCGGGGCUCAACCCCGGAACUGCCUUUGAAACUAGAUAGCUUGAAUCACGGAGAGGUGGGUGGAAUUCCGAGUGUAGAGGUGAAAUUCGUAGAUAUUCGGAAGAACACCAGUGGCGAAGGCGGCCCACUGGACGUGUAUUGACGCUGAGGUGCGAAAGCGUGGGGAGCAAACAGG